ACUAAGCGUACACGGUGGAUGCCCUGGCAGUCAGAGGCGAUGAAGGACGUGCUAAUCUGCGAUAAGCGUCGGUAAGGUGAUAUGAACCGUUAUAACCGGCGAUUUCCGAAUGGGGAAACCCAGUGUGAUUCGUCACACUAUCAUUAACUGAAUCCAUAGGUUAAUGAGGCGAACCGGGGGAACUGAAACAUCUAAGUACCCCGAGGAAAAGAAAUCAACCGAGAUUCCCCCAGUAGCGGCGAGCGAACGGGGAGCAGCCCAGAGCCUGAAUCAGUGUGUGUGUUAGUGGAAGCGUCUGGAAAGGCGCGCGAUACAGGGUGACAGCCCCGUACACAAAAAUGCACAUACUGUGAGCUCGAUGAGUAGGGCGGGACACGUGGUAUCCUGUCUGAAUAUGGGGGGACCAUCCUCCAAGGCUAAAUACUCCUGACUGACCGAUAGUGAACCAGUACCGUGAGGGAAAGGCGAAAAGAACCCCGGCGAGGGGAGUGAAAAAGAACCUGAAACCGUGUACGUACAAGCAGUGGGAGCACGCUUAGGCGUGUGACUGCGUACCUUUUGUAUAAUGGGUCAGCGACUUAUAUUCUGUAGCAAGGUUAACCGAAUAGGGGAGCCGAAGGGAAACCGAGUCUUAACUGGGCGUUAAGUUGCAGGGUAUAGACCCGAAACCCGGUGAUCUAGCCAUGGGCAGGUUGAAGGUUGGGUAACACUAACUGGAGGACCGAACCGACUAAUGUUGAAAAAUUAGCGGAUGACUUGUGGCUGGGGGUGAAAGGCCAAUCAAACCGGGAGAUAGCUGGUUCUCCCCGAAAGCUAUUUAGGUAGCGCCUCGUGAAUUCAUCUCCGGGGGUAGAGCACUGUUUCGGCAAGGGGGUCAUCCCGACUUACCAACCCGAUGCAAACUGCGAAUACCGGAGAAUGUUAUCACGGGAGACACACGGCGGGUGCUAACGUCCGUCGUGAAGAGGGAAACAACCCAGACCGCCAGCUAAGGUCCCAAAGUCAUGGUUAAGUGGGAAACGAUGUGGGAAGGCCCAGACAGCCAGGAUGUUGGCUUAGAAGCAGCCAUCAUUUAAAGAAAGCGUAAUAGCUCACUGGUCGAGUCGGCCUGCGCGGAAGAUGUAACGGGGCUAAACCAUGCACCGAAGCUGCGGCAGCGACGCUUAUGCGUUGUUGGGUAGGGGAGCGUUCUGUAAGCCUGCGAAGGUGUGCUGUGAGGCAUGCUGGAGGUAUCAGAAGUGCGAAUGCUGACAUAAGUAACGAUAAAGCGGGUGAAAAGCCCGCUCGCCGGAAGACCAAGGGUUCCUGUCCAACGUUAAUCGGGGCAGGGUGAGUCGACCCCUAAGGCGAGGCCGAAAGGCGUAGUCGAUGGGAAACAGGUUAAUAUUCCUGUACUUGGUGUUACUGCGAAGGGGGGACGGAGAAGGCUAUGUUGGCCGGGCGACGGUUGUCCCGGUUUAAGCGUGUAGGCUGGUUUUCCAGGCAAAUCCGGAAAAUCAAGGCUGAGGCGUGAUGACGAGGCACUACGGUGCUGAAGCAACAAAUGCCCUGCUUCCAGGAAAAGCCUCUAAGCAUCAGGUAACAUCAAAUCGUACCCCAAACCGACACAGGUGGUCAGGUAGAGAAUACCAAGGCGCUUGAGAGAACUCGGGUGAAGGAACUAGGCAAAAUGGUGCCGUAACUUCGGGAGAAGGCACGCUGAUAUGUAGGUGAAGUCCCUCGCGGAUGGAGCUGAAAUCAGUCGAAGAUACCAGCUGGCUGCAACUGUUUAUUAAAAACACAGCACUGUGCAAACACGAAAGUGGACGUAUACGGUGUGACGCCUGCCCGGUGCCGGAAGGUUAAUUGAUGGGGUUAGCGCAAGCGAAGCUCUUGAUCGAAGCCCCGGUAAACGGCGGCCGUAACUAUAACGGUCCUAAGGUAGCGAAAUUCCUUGUCGGGUAAGUUCCGACCUGCACGAAUGGCGUAAUGAUGGCCAGGCUGUCUCCACCCGAGACUCAGUGAAAUUGAACUCGCUGUGAAGAUGCAGUGUACCCGCGGCAAGACGGAAAGACCCCGUGAACCUUUACUAUAGCUUGACACUGAACAUUGAGCCUUGAUGUGUAGGAUAGGUGGGAGGCUUUGAAGUGUGGACGCCAGUCUGCAUGGAGCCGACCUUGAAAUACCACCCUUUAAUGUUUGAUGUUCUAACGUGGACCCGUAAUCCGGGUUGCGGACAGUGUCUGGUGGGUAGUUUGACUGGGGCGGUCUCCUCCUAAAGAGUAACGGAGGAGCACGAAGGUUGGCUAAUCCUGGUCGGACAUCAGGAGGUUAGUGCAAUGGCAUAAGCCAGCUUGACUGCGAGCGUGACGGCGCGAGCAGGUGCGAAAGCAGGUCAUAGUGAUCCGGUGGUUCUGAAUGGAAGGGCCAUCGCUCAACGGAUAAAAGGUACUCCGGGGAUAACAGGCUGAUACCGCCCAAGAGUUCAUAUCGACGGCGGUGUUUGGCACCUCGAUGUCGGCUCAUCACAUCCUGGGGCUGAAGUAGGUCCCAAGGGUAUGGCUGUUCGCCAUUUAAAGUGGUACGCGAGCUGGGUUUAGAACGUCGUGAGACAGUUCGGUCCCUAUCUGCCGUGGGCGCUGGAGAACUGAGGGGGGCUGCUCCUAGUACGAGAGGACCGGAGUGGACGCAUCACUGGUGUUCGGGUUGUCAUGCCAAUGGCACUGCCCGGUAGCUAAAUGCGGAAGAGAUAAGUGCUGAAAGCAUCUAAGCACGAAACUUGCCCCGAGAUGAGUUCUCCCUGACUCCUUGAGAGUCCUGAAGGAACGUUGAAGACGACGACGUUGAUAGGCCGGGUGUGUAAGCGCAGCGAUGCGUUGAGCUAACCGGUACUAAUGAACCGUGAGGCUUAACC
rnacentral:rRNA from 1 species